GACGAACGCUGGCGGCGUGCUUAACACAUGCAAGUCGAACGGAAAGGCCCUGCUUUUGUGGGGUGCUCGAGUGGCGAACGGGUGAGUAACACGUGAGUAACCUGCCCUUGACUUUGGGAUAACUCCAGGAAACUGGGGCUAAUACCGGAUAGGAGCUCCUGCUGCAUGGUGGGGGUUGGAAAGUUUCGGCGGUUGGGGCUGGACUCGCGGCUUAUCAGCUUGUUGGUGGGGUAGUGGCUUACCAAGUGUAUGAAGGGUAGCCGGCCUGAGAGGGUGACCGGCCACAUGGGGACUGAGAUAGGGCCCAGACUCCAACGGGAGGCAGCGGUGGGAAAUAUGGCAGAGUGGGGCGAAGCCUGAUGCGGCAACGCCGCGUGCGGAAUAACGGCCUUCGGGUUGUAAACCGCUUUCGCCUGUGACGAGGCGGGAGUGACGGUAAUGGGUAAAGAAGCACCGGCUAACUACGUG
rnacentral:rRNA from 1 species